rnacentral:rRNA from 1 species
UACGUAGGGUGCAAGCGUUGUCCGGAAUUAUUGGGCGUAAAGAGCUCGUAGGCGGUUUGUCGCGUCUGCUGUGAAAUCUGGGGGCUCAACCCCCAGCCUGCAGUGGGUACGGGCAGACUAGAGUGCGGUAGGGGAGAUUGGAAUUCCUGGUGUAGCGGUGGAAUGCGCAGAUAUCAGGAGGAACACCAAUGGCGAAGGCAGAUCUCUGGGCUGUAACUGACGCUGAGGAGCGAAAGCAUGGGGAGCGAACAGG